UCCUCAUAAUGGUCCCUAUUUCUAACUUUUAGUACUAUAAGAAAAUGAGCUCUAAUUUAGGUGCAGCCCUAGCUGUCGUCUUUUGCCAUUUGCUUCCAAGAGUUCCCAACUACAUCCAAUUUAUCUUUUCUUUGAAUUCCCAGUUCUUCAAGCUUUCUAUUAGAAUGCAUGUGAGUUAUUUUGCGGCAGCCAACUCGAAAGAGGACACGUGAUAUGAGUGGAUAAGCAAUUGUUCAUCGACAAUUGUAGUGAUCAUAUGACAUUUAAGUUUCGCUGCUAAGGGGAAGGGGGUGUUGUCAUUGUUGAUGCAUCUAUGGAGGAGCAAACAUGGAAGAAGGUACUUGUAAAAGCGUCUUGUAAUACAAUGUUAUGCUUCACUUGAGUAUCUUCACCCAAAAGAAUAAAUGUGGUUGCUGGAAGGCAUCUAUUUUUUCUUAUAAUUCAGAUAUUUAGACGACUUAAUUUUACUUAAUGUAUAUUGUUUAUUUUCCCCUUUUAGUUUUUCGUCUUUAAUUUGUUCUUUUUAUAUUAUUUUAUUUAUGUAAGCAAUAGUUUUCCUUUUUCUUUAGUUUUUGUGGGUGUGCUUAUUAGAGAUGUGAUAAGAUAGGGAUGUUAAAUGGUAAA